AUUGAACGCUGGCGGCAUGCCUUACACAUGCAAGUCGAACGGCAGCACGGGAGCAAUCCUGGUGGCGAGUGGCGAACGGGCGAGUAAUAUAUCGGAACGUGCCCAGUAGUGGGGGAUAGCCCGGCGAAAGCCGGAUUAAUACCGCAUGAGACCUGAGGGUGAAAGCGGGGGAUCGCAAGACCUCGCGCUAUUGGAGCGGCCGAUAUCAGAUUAGCUAGUUGGUGGGGUAAAGGCCUACCAAGGCAACGAUCUGUAGUUGGUCUGAGAGGACGACCAGCCACACUGGGACUGAGACACGGCCCAGACUCCUACGGGAGGCAGCAGUGGGGAAUUUUGGACAAUGGGCGCGAGCCUGAUCCAGCAAUGCCGCGUGCAGGAAGAAGGCCU
rnacentral:rRNA from 1 species